rnacentral:rRNA from 1 species
AUUGAACGCUGGCGGCAGGCCUAACACAUGCAAGUCGAGCGGAUGAAGAGAGCUUGCUCUCUGAUUUAGCGGCGGACGGGUGAGUAAUGCCUAGGAAUCUGCCUGGUAGUGGGGGAUAACGUCCGGAAACGGGCGCUAAUACCGCACACGUCCUACGGGAGAACGCAGGGGACCUUCGUUCCUUCCGCUCUCAGCUGAGCCUAGGUCGGAUUAGCUAGUUGGUGAGGUAAUGGCGCACCAAGGCUACGAUCCGUAACCGGUCUGAGAGGAUGAUCAGUCACACUGGAACUGAGACACGGUCCAGACUCCUACGGGAGGCAGCAGUUGGGAAUAUUGGACAAUGGGCGAAAGCCUGAUCCAGCCAUGCCGCGUGUGUGAAGAAGGUCUUCGGAUUGUAAGGCACUUUAAGUUGGGAGGAAGGGCAGUAAGUUAAUACCUUGCUGUUUUGACGUUACCGACAGAAUAAGCACCGGCUAACUUCGUGCCAGCCGCCGCCGUAACAC